GGUUUCCGUAGGUGAACCUGCGGAAGGAUCAUUACCACACCUAAAAAAACUUUCCACGUGAACCGUUUCAACCAAAUAUUUUGGGGGUCUUGUCUGGCGUAUGGCUGCUGCUGUAAAAGGCGGCGGCUGUUGCUGGGUGAGCCCUAUCAUGGCGAACGUUUGGGCUUCGGUCUGAACAAGUAGCUCUUUUUUAAACCAUUACUUAUUACUGAUUAUACUGUGGGGACGAAAGUCUCUGCUUUUAACUAGAUAGCAACUUUCAGCAGUGGAUGUCUAGGCUCGCACAUCGAUGAAGAACGCUGCGAACUGCGAUACGUAAUGCGAAUUGCAGGAUUCAGUGAGUCAUCGAAAUUUUGAACGCAUAUUGCACUUCCGGGUUAGUCCUGGGAGUAUGCCUGUAUCAGUGUCCGUACAUCAAACUUGGCUUUCUUCCUUCCGUGUAGUCGGUGGAGGAGACGCCAGACGUGAAGUGUCUUGCGACUGGUUUUCGGACCGGAUGUGAGUCCUUUGAAAUGUACUUUACUGUACUUCUCUUUGCUCGAAAAGCGUGGCGUUGCUAAUUGUGGAGGCUGCCAGUGUGGCCAGUCGGCGACCGGUUUUGUCUGCUGUAGCGUUUAAUGGAGGAGUGUUUGAUUCGCGGUAUGGUUGGCUUCGGCUGAACAAUGCGCUUAUUGGACGUUUUUCCUGCUGUGGCGUGAUGGACUGGUGAACCGUAGCUGUGCAUGGCUUGGCCUUUGAAUUGGCUUUUGCUGUUGCGAAGUAGAGUGGCGGCUUCGGCUGUCGAGGGUCGAUCCAUUUGGGAAAUUUGUGUUGGUAGCUUCGGUUGCUGGCAUCUCAAUUGGACCUGAUAUCAGGCAAGAUUACCCGCUGAACUUAAGCAAUCAAAA
rnacentral:rRNA from 1 species